rnacentral:tRNA from 1 species
GAGGGUAUAGUUCAGUGGUAGAGUACAUGCUUAGCAUGCACGAGGUCCUGGGUUCAAUCCCCAGUACUUUUG